ACUUAUAAAGAGAAAAGGUUUCUUUUGGUUCACUGUUUUGAAGAUUCCAGUCCAUGAUUAGUCGGCCACAUUUUGUGUGAGCUUGUCACAGAGCAGGACAUCAUGGUGGGAGUAUAUGGCGGAUUCAAACUACUCACCUCAAAGACAGGAAACAAAAGGGUGUGAAAAGGGGGCUGGUGUCCCACAGUCCACUCUUCAAUGUGACACUCCUAAUGAACUGGCAUAACUGGGACUCUGUGCCCAUUAAACAAUUACUCCCCAUUUUACCCACUCACCUGCCUUUGGCAACUACCCUCCUCCUUUCACUGUCUAUGACUUGCCUACUCUGCGUGCCUCAUACAAGUGGAAUCAUACAAGAUUUGUUCUCUCAUUACUAGCUCCUUUCACUUAGUAUAAUGUCUUCAAGGUUCAUCAAUGCUGUAGCAUGUGUCACAUUUCUUGUUCAGCCUGAAUAAUAUUCCAAUCUUUGUGUAUUCCACAUUGUAUUUAUCCAUUAAUCUGUGUGUGGACACUUGGGUGUUUCAACUGUUUGGCUGUUGUGAAUUAAUGUGGGUACAAUUAAUACAAUUAAUAACACAAAUGGCCUCCAAGAACUAUUUCUAAUUCUUUUGGAGUUCUUUUUUUUUAUAUACCCAUCCACUUAGAUCAUAUGGUAAUCUUAUUUUUAAUAUUAUUAUGGUUUAGAUAAGAGAUGUCCCCCAGAAGCCCAAGUGUGAGACAAUGCAAGGAAGUUUAGAUUGGGUUAUGAGAGACUGAACCUAAUCAGUGUAUUAAUCUACUGAUAGGGCUUAACUGUAGGCAGGUAGGAUGUGGCUGGAGGAGGUGGAUCAUUGUGGGUGUGCCUUUGGAGUAUAAAUUUUGUUUCGUGGAGAGUGAAUUCUUUCUCUGCUUCUUGGUGCGAGGUCCUGAAACGCUUUCCUCCACCACAUGCUUCUGCCAUAUUGUUCUGCUUCACCCCAGUACCCAGAGGAAUGGAGCUGGCUGUCUAUGGACUGAGAUCUCUGAAAUCGUGAGCCCUGAAAUAAAAUUUUCCCCCUCUAAAACUGUUCUUAUAGGUCUUUUGGUUACAGCAGUGAAAAAGCGGAGUAUGGCAAAUAUUACCGUGUAUUUUUAUUAUUUGGUGGAGAUUUUGUCUUAUUAAGUUUAUUCAAAAGAGACUAGCUAUGGAAAAAGAUAGAGAAUAUAUACUUUUUUAUUUGGUAGAGAUUUUGUCCUAAUCCAUUAUAUGCCACAGAGACAAGUUAUAGGAAGAAGAUAGGGAAUAUAUACUUUUAAGUAAGUAUUACCCAUUAAUAUCAGUUCAGCAUCAUCCAGGUAGGGAAGAAAUGAAUUUAAAAAGGGAUUUUUGUCAAGCAUCUCCCUCAACCUUUUAUCAUCUCUCCUUCUAAUUUUUGUUCUGUGUUUUGGCAAGGGUUUGAGAUUUUAGCAAGUUUUAUGCACCAUAGACUAUUAAUGAACCUCUUCUCCUGUCCUGGGAGUACCAAGUAUCAUUAUCAUAUGUUUUGAGAUUGUAUCUGAUUUUCUGAUAACUGAAUGGUCCUGUGUCUUGUGUUCCUUAGUUUAUAAACAUGAAGAUCCCUCUGACAGCCUAGAAGCAGUGGGUGUGUGUUCAGGGAACCACAGUCUGGCUGCUCUUUGCCUCUCUGACCCCAUGUCUGCCCCUCUGUGGGAUUUCUUCCGGUCCUUCCCUUUUUAUGACACGUAGUCUGAAUAUUUCUGGUCCAGAAUGCAGAAGGAACUUUUUGCCCUGAGUAGUCACUAUUGUUCUUAUUGGGCCUAACCUCAGCAGUUGCUGAUCAGCCCUUCAUGAGUUUCCCUUGGUUUGAUGCUGCCUCUCCCUUCUAGAGAAUGGCCUCCUCCCUGUUUCUGCCUCCACCGAUCCAAAUUCAGGGCCCCUUCUAGUUAAAAGGUAAAUUCCCCUUUCUGCUCCAUACCAGGGGAUGAAUGAACCUUGCUAAUAGGUGCCUGAGUGAGAUUGGCAGGCCCUGGACUGAUGACCUGGUUUAUCCUUUUAAUCAGAAUGAAAAAACAAAAUGCCAGCAAAUUGCAGACAUUUUCGUGGGGCUCAGUGAUGCAUGUCUUGUAAUCCCAGCUACUUGGGAGGCUGAUGUUAGAGAAUCACAUGUUUGAGGCCAGCUUAGACGACCUAGUGAGAUCCUGUCUCAAAAUAAAAUAAAAAGGACUGGGGAUGUAGCUCAGUGGUAGAAUGUUUGCCUUGCAUGUGCCAGGACCUACCUAUGCUCUAUUCCCCACCAAGAAAACGGAAGAUGAUGUUGGAAAAGUCCAUUAGAUAAGGAUAGCAGACUGCUUGAUUUUUUCCGAGGUGGGGAGAAAGGCAUAGUUCUAGUAGGGAAAAUUUAUACUUGAGUGAGCUAUAAACAGAUUCUCAGUUUGCAGGAAAUAUUAAUACAACCUAAUCUCUUUGGAACAGAAGUUUCCAAGUCAUUUAACACAUAUAGUCUGAGUAUUUACCAAAUUCAGUAAUCAGGACCCUCAGAAUAAAACAGGAAAAGACUAGGGGUAAGAAAAAUGGUGGAAUGAGAUGGACAUCAUGACCUUAAGUACACGUAUGAAAACACGAAUGGUGUGACUCUACUUUGCGUACAACCAGAGAUAUGAAAGACUGUGCUCUAUAUGUGUAAUAUGAAUUGUAAUGCAUUCUGCUGUCAUAUAUGACAAAUUAAAAUUUAAAAAAAUUUUAAAAAACAGAAAA
rnacentral:lncRNA from 1 species